rnacentral:lncRNA from 1 species
AGAAGAAGGCAGUUCCGCCAAUAGCAAAAACACCAGAGAAAUCCGCCCCUAGGGUGUCAAAGUCUAUAUCAACUCCCACCCCUAAAGCAUCGAAGUCUACAUCAACUCCCACCCCUAGAGCAUCGAAGCCGCUAUCAACUUCCACCCCUAGAGCAUCGAAGCCGUUAUCAACUUCCACCCCUAGAGUAUCGAAGUCUAUAUCAACUUCCACACCUAGAGUGGCUAAGUCUAUAUCAACUUCCACCCCGAGAGUGGCUAAGUUUCUAUCAACUUCUACUGCAACAUCUUCAUCGUGGUCCUCGGUAAAGAAGGGCAAUGCUUCAUCUCUCCCUAGGAGCAAAAAUCCUUCAACUGAGGAAACCA